rnacentral:rRNA from 1 species
CCUACGGGUGGCUGCAGUCGCGAAUUUUUCACAAUGGGCGCAAGCCUGAUGAAGCCACGCCGUGUGCGGGAUGAAGGCUCUCUGAGUUGUAAACCGCUGUCAAGUGGAGGGAAACGUACGGUGUUAACAGCGCCGUGCUUGACUGUCCGCUAAAGGAAGCCCCGGCAAAACAUGUGCCAGCAGCCGCGGUAAUACAUGUGGGGCAAGCGUUGUUCGGAAUUACUGGGCAUAAAGGGUGCGUAGGCGGUCUGGUAAGUCAGGGGUGAAAUCCGGUGGCCCAACCAUCGAACUGCCUUUGAUACUGCUGGACUUGAGUGCGUGAGGGGAGACUGGAACGAGUGGUGUAGCGGUGAAAUGCGUAGAUAUCACUCGGAACGCCAACGGCGAAGGCAGGUCUCUGGUACGCAACUGACGCUGAGGCACGAAAGCGUGGGGAGCAAACAGGAUUAGAUACCCCAGUAGUC